rnacentral:rRNA from 1 species
GAUGAACGCUAGCGGCAGGCCUAACACAUGCAAGUCGAGGGGUAGAACACUUCGGUGUUUGAGACCGGCGCACGGGUGCGUAACGCGUAUGCAAUCUACCUUAUACAGGGGAAUAGCCCAGAGAAAUUUGGAUUAAUGCCCCAUAGCAUUACGACUUGGCAUCAAGAUGUAAUUAAAGUUCCAACGGUAUAAGAUGAGCAUGCGUCCCAUUAGUUAGUUGGUAAGGUAACGGCUUACCAAGACAAUGAUGGGUAGGGGUCCUGAGAGGGAGAUCCCCCACACUGGUAGUGGGACACGGACCAGACUCCUACGGGAGGCAGCAGUGAGGAAUAUUGGUCAAUGGGCGCAAGCCUGAACCAGCCAUGCCGCGUGCAGGAAGACGGUCCUAUGGAUUGUAAACUGCUUUUAUACAGGAAGAAACAUCCCGACGUGUCGGGACUUGACGGUACUGUAGGAAUAAGGAUCGGCUAACUCCGUGCCAGCAGCCGCCGUAAAAC